rnacentral:rRNA from 1 species
GACGAACGCUGGCGGCGUGCCUAAUACAUGCAAGUCGAGCGGACCCUUCGGGGUUAGCGGCGGACGGGUGAGUAACACGUAGGCAACCUGCCUGUAAGACCGGGAUAACUACCGGAAACGGUAGCUAAGACCGGAUAACUGGUCCCGAUGCAUGUCGGGAUUAUGAAACACGGCGCAAGCUGUGGCUUACGGAUGGGCCUGCGGCGCAUUAGCUGGUUGGCGGGGUAACGGCCCACCAAGGCGACGAUGCGUAGCCGACCUGAGAGGGUGAUCGGCAACACUGGGACUGAGACACGGCCCAGACUCCUACGGGAGGCAGCAGUAGGGAAUCUUCCGCAAUGGACGCAAGUCUGACGGAGCAACGCCGCGUGAGCGAUGAAGGUUUUCGGAUCGUAAAGCUCUGUUGCCAGGGAAGAACGUCGCGGGGAGUGACUGCCCUGCGAAUGACGGUACCUGAGAAGAAAGCCCCGGCUAACUACGUGCCAGCAGCCGCAGUAAUAC